GGUUAAGUGACUAAGCGUACACGGUGGAUGCCUAGGCAGUCAGAGGCGAUGAAGGGCGUGCUAAUCUGCGAAAAGCGUCGGUAAGGUGAUAUGAACCGUUAUAACCGGCGAUACCCGAAUGGGGAAACCCAGUGCGUUUCGACACACUAUCAUGUCAUGAAUACAUAGUGGCAUGAGGCGAACCGGGGGAACUGAAACAUCUAAGUACCCCGAGGAAAAGAAAUCAACCGAGAUUCCCCCAGUAGCGGCGAGCGAACGGGGAGGAGCCCAGAACCUGAAUCGGCUUGUGUGUUAGUGGAAGCGUCUGGAAAGUCGCGCAGCAAAGGGUGAUAGCCCCGUACACUAAAAUGCACAGGUCGUGAGUUCGAUGAGUAGGGCGGGACACGUGACAUCCUGUCUGAAUAUGGGGGGACCAUCCUCCAAGGCUAAAUACUCCUGACUGACCGAUAGUGAACCAGUACCGUGAGGGAAAGGCGAAAAGAACCCCGGCGAGGGGAGUGAAAUAGAACCUGAAACCGUGUACGUACAAGCAGUGGGAGCACCUUCGUGGUGUGACUGCGUACCUUUUGUAUAAUGGGUCAGCGACUUAUAUUUUGUAGCAAGGUUAACCGUAUAGGGGAGCCGUAGGGAAACCGAGUCUUAACUGGGCGAAUAGUUGCAAGGUAUAGACCCGAAACCCGGUGAUCUAGCCAUGGGCAGGUUGAAGGUUGGGUAACACUAACUGGAGGACCGAACCGACUAAUGUUGAAAAAUUAGCGGAUGACUUGUGGCUGGGGGUGAAAGGCCAAUCAAACCGGGAGAUAGCUGGUUCUCCCCGAAAGCUAUUUAGGUAGCGCCUCGUGAACUCAUCUUCGGGGGUAGAGCACUGUUUCGGCUAGGGGGCCAUCCCGGCUUACCAAACCGAUGCAAACUCCGAAUACCGAAGAAUGUUAUCACGGGAGACACACGGCGGGUGCUAACGUCCGUCGUGAAGAGGGAAACAACCCAGACCGCCAGCUAAGGUCCCAAAGUCAUGGUUAAGUGGGAAACGAUGUGGGAAGGCACAGACAGCCAGGAUGUUGGCUUAGAAGCAGCCAUCAUUUAAAGAAAGCGUAAUAGCUCACUGGUCGAGUCGGCCUGCGCGGAAGAUGUAACGGGGCUAAACCAUGCACCGAAGCUGCGGCAGCGACGCUUAGGCGUUGUUGGGUAGGGGAGCGUUCUGUAAGCCGUUGAAGGUGGCCUGUGAGGGUUGCUGGAGGUAUCAGAAGUGCGAAUGCUGACAUAAGUAACGAUAAAGCGGGUGAAAAGCCCGCUCGCCGGAAGACCAAGGGUUCCUGUCCAACGUUAAUCGGGGCAGGGUGAGUCGACCCCUAAGGCGAGGCUGAAAAGCGUAGUCGAUGGGAAACAGGUUAAUAUUCCUGUACUUGGUGUUACUGCGAAGGGGGGACGGAGAAGGCUAGGCUAGCCGGGCGACGGUUGUCCCGGUUUAAGCGUGUAGGGGGUGUGACCUGGUAAAUCCGGUUACAUACUAACCCUGAGGCGUGAUGACGAUGCACUACGGUGCAGAAGUAGUUGAUGCCCUGCUUCCAGGAAAAGCCUCUAAGCUCCAGGUAACAUUAAAUCGUACCCCAAACCGACACAGGUGGUCAGGUAGAGAAUACCAAGGCGCUUGAGAGAACUCGGGUGAAGGAACUAGGCAAAAUGGUGCCGUAACUUCGGGAGAAGGCACGCUGGCAUGUAGGUGAAGUCCCUCGCGGAUGGAGCUGAAGCCAGUCGAAGAUACCAGCUGGCUGCAACUGUUUAAUAAAAACACAGCACUGUGCAAACACGAAAGUGGACGUAUACGGUGUGACGCCUGCCCGGUGCUGGAAGGUUAAUUGAUGGGGUCAGCCGCAAGGCGAAGCUCUUGAUCGAAGCCCCAGUAAACGGCGGCCGUAACUAUAACGGUCCUAAGGUAGCGAAAUUCCUUGUCGGGUAAGUUCCGACCUGCACGAAUGGCGUAAUGAUGGCCAGGCUGUCUCCACCCGAGACUCAGUGAAAUUGAACUCGCUGUGAAGAUGCAGUGUACCCGCGGCAAGACGGAAAGACCCCGUGAACCUUUACUAUAGCUUGACACUGAACAUUGAGCCUUGAUGUGUAGGAUAGGUGGGAGGCUUUGAAGCGUGGACGCCAGUCUGCGUGGAGCCAUCCUUGAAAUACCACCCUUUAAUGUUUGAUGUUCUAACUCGGCCCCAUAAUCUGGGGUGAGGACAGUGUCUGGUGGGUAGUUUGACUGGGGCGGUCUCCUCCCAAAGAGUAACGGAGGAGCACGAAGGUUAGCUAAUCACGGUCGGACAUCGUGAGGUUAGUGCAAAGGCAUAAGCUAGCUUGACUGCGAGAGUGACGGCUCGAGCAGGUACGAAAGUAGGUCUUAGUGAUCCGGUGGUUCUGAAUGGAAGGGCCAUCGCUCAACGGAUAAAAGGUACUCCGGGGAUAACAGGCUGAUACCGCCCAAGAGUUCAUAUCGACGGCGGUGUUUGGCACCUCGAUGUCGGCUCAUCACAUCCUGGGGCUGAAGUAGGUCCCAAGGGUAUGGCUGUUCGCCAUUUAAAGUGGUACGCGAGCUGGGUUUAGAACGUCGUGAGACAGUUCGGUCCCUAUCUGCCGUGGGCGUUGGAAGAUUGAGAGGGGUUGCUCCUAGUACGAGAGGACCGGAGUGAACGCACCACUGGUGUUCGGGUUGUCAUGCCAAUGGCAUUGCCCGGUAGCUAAGUGCGGAAAAGAUAAGCGCUGAAAGCAUCUAAGCGCGAAACUUGCCUCAAGAUGAGUCUUCCCUGGGCCUUUAAGGCCCCUGAAGGAACGUUUAAGACUAAGACGUUGAUAGGCUGGGUGUGUAAGUGCAGCGAUGCAUUGAGCUAACCAGUACUAAUGAUCCGUGAGGCUUAACCUU
rnacentral:rRNA from 1 species